rnacentral:rRNA from 1 species
GUCCUACGGGACGCAGCAGUAGGGAAUUUUCGUCAAUGGGCGCAAGCCUGAACGAGCAAUGCCGCGUGAACGAGGAAGGUCUUCGGGUUGUAAACCGCUUUCAGCAGGGAAGAUAAUGACGGUACCUGCAGAAGAAGCCCCGGCUAACUACGUGCCAGCAGCCGCGGUAAUACGUAGGGGGCAAGCGUUAUCCGGAUUCAUUGGGCGUAAAGCGCACGCAGGCGGGCCGCUAAGCGGGACCUCUAAUAUUGGGGAUCAAACUCAAGACGGG